AGAGUUUGAUCAUGGCUCAGAGUGAACGUUGGCGGCGUGGAUUAGGCAUGCAAGUCGAGCGAGAAGGUGUGAAGUGCUUGCACGGAUCACUGGACAGCGGCAAACGGCGUAGUAAUGCGUAGGAACGUACCCUCAGGUCUGGGAUAGCCGCGGGAAACUGCGGGUAAUACCGGAUAACCUCUCCGGAGCAAAGGUCCGCCGCCGGAGAGCGCCUACGUGGUAUUAGCUAGUUGGUGAGGUAAUGGCUCACCAAGGCUCAGAUGCCUAGGGGGUGUGAGAGCAUGGCCCCCACGACUGGGACUGAGACACUGCCCAGACACCUACGGGUGGCUGCAGUCGAGAAUCUUCCGCAAUGGGCGAAAGCCUGACGGAGCGACGCCGCGUGCGGGAUGAAGGCCUUCGGGUUGUAAACCGCUGUCAGAGGGGAUGAAAUCGCCUUCGGGCGUUGACAAAGCCUCAGAGGAAGCGCGGGCUAAGUUCGUGCCAGCAGCCGCGGUAAUACGAACUGCGCAAACGUUACUCGGAAUCACUGGGCUUAAAGGGUGCGUAGGCGGCCACGCAAGUCGGGUGUGAAAUCCCUCGGCUCAACCGAGGAACUGCGCCCGAAACUGCAUGGCUUGAGUACGAUAGGGGUGUGCGGAACUUCCAGUGGAGCGGUGAAAUGUGUUGAUAUUGGAAGGAACGCCGGUGGCAAAGCGGCACACUGGGUCGUAACUGACGCUGAGGCACGAAAGCCAGGGUAGCGAACGGGAUUAGAUACCCCGGUAGUCCUGGCUGUAAACGCUGAGCACUAGACGGGAAGGGCUUCGGCCAUUUCGGUCGCAGAGAAAUCACUAAGUGCUCCGCCUGGGGAGUAUGGUCGCAAGGCUGAAACUCAAAUGAAUUGACGG
rnacentral:rRNA from 1 species